UACGUAGGGGGCAAGCGUUGUCCGGAUUUAUUGGGCGUAAAGAGCGUGUAGGCGGCCAGACAGGUCCACUGUGAAAACUCGAGGCUCAACCUCGAGAGGUCGGUGGAAACCGUCUGGCUAGAGUCCGGAAGAGGAGAGUGGAAUUCCCGGUGUAGCGGUGAAAUGCGCAGAUAUCGGGAAGAACACCCGUGGCGAAAACGACUCUCUGGGACGGUACUAACGCUGAAACGCGAAAGCGUGGGGAGCGAACAGG
rnacentral:rRNA from 1 species